CGGGGCAUAGCGCAGUCCGGCAGCGCAUCUGCUUUGGGAGCAGAGGGUCGCAGGUUCAAAUCCUGCUGCCCCGA
rnacentral:tRNA from 1 species